rnacentral:lncRNA from 1 species
CUCCCCAGCUGUGAAAGGAAUGAAGAUAUAGAGAAACAAGGAAGAAAUUGACCCCGACGAAGAAGAAAGUGCCAAGAAAAAGCAUUUGGAUAAGAAGAGAAAAUUGAAGGAGAUGUUUGAUGCGGAAUAUGAUGAAGGAGAAAGCACAUAUUUUGAUGAUCUUAAAGGAGAAAUGCAGAAAGAAGCACAGGAGAAUGGGAGCAGAGGAACUGGAGGCUGCAACUGUGGAAAACUUUUGUGGGGUUUUGCUGCAGAGAGAAGCAGAGAAAUGAAGCAGUUUUUGGUGGAAGAAGUGGAAUCAAAAGGUUUUGAGCUGAAUCACGUAGAAUUUGAAGAUCAAGAUGAUGAAGCCAGAGUUCAGUAUGAUGGUUUUCGACCUGGGAUGUACGUCCGCGUUGAGAUUGAAAAUGUUCCCUGUGAAUUUGUGCAGAACUUUGACCCCCAUUACCCCAUUAUCCUGGGUGGCUUGGGCAACAGCGAGGGAAAUGUUGGACACGUGCAGAUGCGUCUGAAGAAACAUCGCUGGUAUAAGAAAAUCCUCAAGUCCCAAGAUCCAAUCAUAUUUUCUGUAGGGUGGAGGAGGUUUCAGACCAUCCUGCUCUAUUAUAUUGAAGACCACAAUGGAAGACAAAGGCUUCUAAAGUAUACCCCACAGCACAUGCAUUGUGGAGCAGCCUUUUGGGACCCUAUCACUCCACAGGGAACUGGUUUCUUGGCAAUACAGUCUGUCAGUGGCAUAAUGCCUGAUUUUCGGAUAGCUGCCACAGGAGUUGUCCUUGAUCUGGAUAAAUCCAUAAAAAUUGUGAAGAAAUUAAAGCUAACUGGUUUUCCAUAUAAAAUUUUCAAGAACACUUCAUUUAUUAAGAUAUUGUCUUCAUGCGAACUUGGUAUCCUGUUUCCAUCCCAGCCUUCUAUAACCCAGUAACAUCUUUGUUGAAACCAGUGGGUGAGAAAGACACCUGGUCAGGAAUGUGGACCACGGGCCACCUCGGGCUCGCCCAUGGUGUCAGACUAAAGACAAACAAGGACUCUCUGUAUAAGGUACUGGUCGUGUGUGUGUUAGUGGAGAUGAAGCCUGUGCCCUACAGACAGGGAGUCACGCAGACACUUUUCUAUAAUUUCUUACGUACUUUGAAUGUUCAAGUAUAAAGUCUAAUGUUAAAUUUGAUUGAACAAUUGUAUAUUUGUGGGAUAUUUUGGAAUGGAACACCAAAAAAUGGUAAUAGUGGUUCUUUCUGGAUUGAAGACAAACUUUUCUUUUUUAAAAUAAAUUUUAUUUUAUAUAUU